CUCCAUUCCAUCUUCUAGAGAACCUCGGCUAACUGUUUGGUGGUUUCAUGUGUUUUAAACUAUUGGUUUCUAAAUUUGCAUGACAGACUUUAAGAAAAGUCAUGUUGAAGAAAAAGGACUGUGACAGUCAACAAGGUGCUACCUUGUUUGGUAACCAGUUUGGCUACUUCCCUUGAAUCUCCCUUUUUACUUCCUUAAGCUUGAUUUGAGGGUAACUUCUUCGCUACUUAUCAUGGACAUUGGACUUCAUCCAUUGGUGAUGCUAUAAUUCAAGAGAAUGCUGUCAUUCAAGACUGAAAAAUUGUGUAGUUGUUAGACAUAUCUGAGCUCCCUUCUUUUCUGUGUCCCCAUUUCCCUAACUAACCAGUAACCACUAACCAACGCCCGCCACUCGGCUGGGUAAUCUUCCUGGCUGCAGUCAAUUAAGGCAGUCUCCCCCUGUCUUGAUUGACUGUAUGUGCGAGUUUCAAAAGCAAUUUAUCACCCAAAUGAGACAAAAAGAGUAGAUCAGUUUGUUUUAUUUGGUUAUAAAUUGUUUUA